rnacentral:lncRNA from 1 species
CCUUGAACUUUUCCUGUACCGAAGUCAUCUGUUCAAAGCUCUGGCAACUGCUGUGUAAGAUACUGUUCUAUCCAUUUACUCUGUUCCUUGAAUCUGGUUGCCAGAAUUAAGGAUGCUACAGAGAACACAGAAUCUUGAAGUAGGGAAUUCUUGAACUCAGGUAAUUAAUAAAAUGUCUCCAACAUCUCUAAAGAUCACACUAAGGCAACUCAUGGAGGGGUCUUCAAAGACCUUGCAAGAAGUACUAACUAUGGAGUAUCGGCUAAGUCAAGCUUGUAUGUUUUAAUUGAUAAAGACCAGAGUCCAAAAUGGAAACCAGCUGAUCUAAAAGAAGUUACUGAGGAAGAUUUGAAUAAUCACUUUAAGUCUUUGGGAAGCAGUGAUUUGAAAUUUUGAGGUGACAGGCUUUUAAGAAAAAAGUUUGUCAAUCCUUGUUUUAGAAGAUGGAAAAAUGUGAAGAUCUUUGGAGAUUCUCUUGAGUGGUAUAUCUAAUUGAAAUGGGAUCUUCGUUUGGCUUGUAUGUUGAUGAAAUCAACUUAGGUAUACAAUAUAAAAAAUAAAGACCCUGAAAAUUGUUUUGG